UGACUCAUCCAUAGAUAUACGUCAGGCUUCUGUGAGCUGCUGACAGAUACCCAGCAGGAAAGGAUGGAAAGGAUUUCUCACCCUCUGAGAAAGGGAAUAGUUCUGUAGAGAAAUGAGCUGAGCAGACCAAGAAUAUUGAGACAAACAAAAGUCCAGAAGAAAAUGAAAUGAUACAGCAGGCAGAAUGACUGAAGGAUGGGUUAUAAUGCUGUUCCAUUGUAAUACAUUCCAACAAACCUUGUGUGAAGUUGCAAAUGUCGAUGGUAAUGUCGCUAAAUUAUUCCGACAAACCUAAGGAUGUGGCGGUGACCGCAAUCAGAGUACACAGUUCCCUGGCCCUAAAGAUUCGAAGAAGGAGCUCAGCCACAAAGGAACCUGCAGAUCAGAGUGAGGGUCCCGUCAGUCCUUUAGGUUUCUAAAAGAGACAUAUCCAAAAUUCAUCACAGAGAAUGCAAGAUGUGUUAUGCCUGGAGCAUCUGGUGUUAAGAGUAAGCCAAACUUUGGAGUCUCUUGUUCAAUUUGUCACUUAUAUUCCAGAUGGAAAAAAAAAAAUUGUAUUUGGGUUGGUGCUGGUGAGUUGGUAGUUGUGUCCAGCUUUUGUGACCCUGAGGACUGUAGCCCACCAGGCUCCUCUGUCCACGACAUUUCUCAAUUAAGAAUAUAAGAAUACAGGAGUGGGUUGCCAUUCCCUUCUCCAGGGGGUCUUCCUGACUCAGGGAUGGAACUUGCAUCUUUUACAUCCCCUUGCAGGCAGAUUCUUUAUUUACUGGGAAGCCCAUAAUUUGGGGACCACGUCUAAUAUAUUCUGGGACAUUUGACUAAUGUCAUCUUUUAAAGCAUUUUCUAUGAUUGGAACAUUUCUACAGUCUUCAGUUUUGUAUUCCUACCAAACUUAGGGCUCAGGUGGAUAGAUAGGAAGGCUGUGAUUCAAAAUUAAGGAGGAUAUGUUGUAUGACAAAACCAUGAUUCCAAAAAAUUCUGAACAAUCUGGAUAAAUGGGUUCAAACUAUCUUUUUCUUAGAUAAAACUUAAUAUGAAUAAACACUGCAUUCUGUUCUUAAGGCAUAAUGAUUUAAAUGCAGAAAAGCAGUAUGAGGAGAGUAUAAAAUAUUAGGCUGUUAAGUUGAGCUUAUAAUUAUAUGUGAGUCAGUAAUAUCUGUGAUUAAAAAGUUAAUAUAAUGUUAAACUUCAUUAAAAGACAAUGUAUAGUAUAAAAGGAGUGAGUUUUAACAUUUAUUCUGGUAUUUUCUGGCAAGGAAAAUUCUAAAUAUAAUGGAUGCAAAACUGCAUUUGUUUAUAAGAGGCAACUUUUUAAGGAACAAUAGCAUUUGAGUAAGCAGAAUGUUGAGCAAUAAAAGCCAUUGACUCAAAAUAUUUACCACCAUGUUCCAAGCAUAAUGUUAGGCAAUACCACAGAGGAAAAUAAUUAAAGCGAGUAAGUGCUGUAUAUUUUGUUAUUGCUUCCAAUUAUUAUGAUUUUUUUGCCUCUCCUUGUGAAAUGAUUAUACUUCCUAUUUCAUUUGCUCCCAAAAUUGGUCAUUUGCCUCUGAAAACAACUUGUAAAAAUGACAAGUGCUACUACUGAGCAGAAACUUAAAAAUCCAUGUAUGCUUCCCCAAUAUAUUUACCUUUCAUCCAUGCAGCCCCUAGAUGGUCUGUUUUACAGUGAAGAAUACCUAUGCAUCAGAGCCAUUGCUAACUUGCAGCCAAGCGAACAGGUGUUAUAAGAGAAAUAAAUCUUUUU
ensembl:lncRNA